AGAGUUUGAUCCUGGCUCAGAACGAACGCUGGCGGCGCGCCUAAUACAUGCAAGUCGAGCGAGAAGGUGUAGCAAUACACUUGUAAAGCGGCGAACGGGUGAGGAAUACAUGGGUAAUCUACCAUCGAGUGGGGAAUAACCAACCGAAAGGUUGGCUAAUACCGCGUACGCCUCCGAGUCUUCGGGUUCGGAGGGAAAGCUGCACUGUGAGUGUAGCGCUCUUUGAUGAGCUCAUGUCCUAUCAGCUUGUUGGUAGGGUAACGGCCUACCAAGGCUUUGACGGGUAGCUGGUCUGAGAGGACGAUCAGCCACACUGGCACUGCGACACGGGCCAGACUCCUACGGGAGGCAGCAGUAAGGAAUAUUGCGCAAUGGGCGAAAGCCUGACGCAGCGACGCCGCGUGGGGGAUGAAGGUCUUCGGAUUGUAAACCCCUUUCGGGAGGGAAGAUGGAGCGAGCAAUCGUUCGGACGGUACCUCCAGAAGCAGCCACGGCCAACUUCGUGCCAGCAGCCGCGGUAAUACGAAGGUGGCAAGCGUUGUUCGGAUUCACUGGGCGUACAGGGUGUGUAGGCGGUUUGGUAAGCCUUCUGUUAAAGCUUCGGGCCCAACCCGGAAAGCGCAGAGGGUACUGCCAGGCUAGAGGGUGGGAGAGGAGCGCGGAAUUCCCGGUGUAGCGGUGAAAUGCGUAGAGAUCGGGAGGAAGGCCGGUGGCGAAGGCGGCGCUCUGGAACAUACCUGACGCUGAGACACGAAAGCGUGGGGAGCAAACAGGAUUAGAUACCCUGGUAGUCCACGCCCUAAA
rnacentral:rRNA from 2 species